rnacentral:rRNA from 1 species
AUAUCAAUAAGCGGAGGAAAAGAAACCAACAGGGAUUGCCCUAGUAACGGCGAGUGAAGCGGCAACAGCUCAAAUUUGAAAUCUGGCCCUAGGCCCGAGUUGUAAUUUGCAGAGGAUGCUUUUGGCAAAGCGCUUACCGAGUCCCCUGGAACGGGGCGCCACAGAGGGUGAGAGCCCCGUAUGGUAUGACGCCGAGCCUCUGUAAAGCUCCUUCGACGAGUCGAGUAGUUUGGGAAUGCUGCUCUAAAUGGGAGGUAAAUUUCUUCUAAAGCUAAAUACCGGCCAGAGACCGAUAGCGCACAAGUAGAGUGAUCGAAAGAUGAAAAGCACUUUGAAAAGAGGGUUAAAUAGCACGUGAAAUUGUUGAAAGGGAAGCGCUCGUGACCAGACUUGCGCCGGGCGGAUCAUCUAGCGUUCUCGCUGGUGCACUCCGCCCGGCUCAGGCCAGCAUCGGUUUUCGCCGGGGGACAAAAGCUUCGGGAACGUGGCUCCCUUCGGGGAGUGUUAUAGCCCGUUGUUUAAUACCCCGGCGGGGACCGAGGACCGCGCUUCGGCAAGGAUGCUGGCGUAAUGGUCAUCAGCGACCCGUCUUGAAACACGGACCGAGGAGUCAAGCAUUAGUGCGAGUGUUUGGGUGUAAAACCCGCACGCGUAAUGAAAGUGAACGUAGGUGAGAGCUUCGGCGCAUCAUCGACCGAUCCUGAUGUUUUCGGAUGGAUUUGAGUAGGAGCAUUAACGCUUGGACCCGAAAGAUGGUGAACUAUACUUGAAUAGGGUGAAGCCAGAGGAAACUCUGGUGGAGGCUCGCAGCGGUUCUGA